UCCUCGAUAGCUUAGUGGUCAGAGCAGCGGGGCAAAAAUCUGAAGACCUGGGUUCGAAUCCAAGUCGAGUUCAAA